CCUACGGGAGGCAGCAGUGGGGAAUUUUGGACAAUGGGGGGAACCCUGAUCCAGCCAUCCCGCGUGUAUGAUGAAGGCCUUCGGGUUGUAAAGUACUUUUGACAGGGAAGAAACGACACCACCUAAUACGUGAUGUUAAUGACGGUACCUGUAGAAUAAGCACCGGCUAACUACGUGCCAGCAGCCGCGGUAAU
rnacentral:rRNA from 1 species